ACGGAGGGUGCGAGCGUUAUUCGGAAUUACUGGGCGUAAAGCGCGUGCAGGCGGGGACGCAAGUCCGAUUUGAAAGGCCUGGGCUCAACCCCGGGAGGGCAUUGGAAACUGGGUUUCUUGAGUACUGGAGAGGAAGGGGGAAUUCCCGGUGUAGAGGUGAAAUGCGUAGAGAUCGGGAGGAAUACCAGUGGCGAAGGCGGCCUUCUGGACGAUUACUGACGCUGAGACGCGAAAGCGUGGGGAGCAAACAG
rnacentral:rRNA from 1 species